CCUUCGGGGGGACGACGGCGGAAUGAGCGGCGGACGGGUGAGUAACACGUAAAGAACCUGCCCAUAGGUCUGGGAUAACCACGAGAAAUCGGGGCUAAUACCGGAUGUGUCAUCGGACCGCAUGGUCCGCUGAUGAAAGGCGCUCCGGCGUCGCCCAUGGAUGGCUUUGCGGUGCAUUAGCUAGUUGGUGGGGUAACGGCCCACCAAGGCGACGAUGCAUAGCCGACCUGAGAGGGUGAUCGGCCACACUGGGACUGAGACACGGCCCAGACUCCUACGGGAGGCAGCAGUAGGGAAUCUUCCACAAUGGACGAAAGUCUGAUGGAGCAACGCCGCGUGAACGAUGAAGGCUUUCGGGUCGUAAAGUUCUGUUGUAAGGGAAGAACAAGUGCCGCAGGCAAUGGCGGCACCUUGACGGUACCUUGCGAGAAAGCCACGGCUAACUACGUGCCAGCAGCCGCGGUAAUACGUAGGUGGCAAGCGUUGUCCGGAAUUAUUGGGCGUAAAGCGCGCGCAGGCGGCCUCUUAAGUCUGAUGUGAAAGCCCCCGGCUCAACCGGGGAGGGCCAUUGGAAACUGGGAGGCUUGAGUAUAGGAGAGAAGAGUGGAAUUCCACGUGUAGCGGUGAAAUGCGUAGAGAUGUGGAGGAACACCAGUGGCGAAAGGCGACUCUUUGGCCUAUAACUGACGCUGAGGCGCGAAAGCGUGGGGAGCAAACAGGAUUAGAUACC
rnacentral:rRNA from 1 species